rnacentral:rRNA from 1 species
AUUGAACGCUGGCGGCAUGCCUUACACAUGCAAGUCGAACGGCAGCACGGGAGCUUGCUCCUGGUGGCGAGUGGCGAACGGGUGAGUAAUACAUCGGAACGUACCCAGGAGUGGGGGAUAACGUAGCGAAAGUUACGCUAAUACCGCAUAUUCUGUGAGCAGGAAAGCGGGGGAUCGCAAGACCUCGCGCUCUUGGAGCGGCCGAUGUCGGAUGACGUAGUUGAUGAGGUAAAAGCUCACCAAGGCGACGAUCCGGAGCAGGUCUGAGAGGAUGGUCCGCCACACUGGGACUGGGACACGGCCCAGACUCCUACGGGGGGCAGCAGGGGGGAAUUUUGGACAAUGGGGGCAACCCUGAUCCAGCCAUGCCGCGUGAGUGAAGAAGGCCCUCGGGUUGUAAAGCUCUUUCGGCGGGGAAGAAAUGGCAACGGCUAAUAUCCGUUGUUGAUGACGGUACCCGCAUAAGAAGCACCGGCUAACUACGUGCCAGCCGCCGCAGUAAUAC